AACUGGGUAUAAUACCCGAUAGGUCUCGAUUGCUGGAAUGCAUCGAGAUUUAAAGCUCCGGCGCCUAAGGAUGGGUCUGCGGCCUAUCAGGUAGUAGUGGGUGUAGCGUACCUACUAGCCUACGACGGGUACGGGUUGUGAGAGCAAGAGCCCGGAGAUGGAUUCUGAGACACGAAUCCAGGCCCUACGGGGUGCAGCAGGCGCGAAAACUUUACAAUGCUGGCAACAGCGAUAAGGGAACCUCGAGUGCCAGGUUACAAAUCUGGCUGUCGAGAUGCCUAAAAAGCAUUUCAUAGCAAGGGCCGGGCAAGACCGGUGCCAGCCGCCGCGGUAACACCGGCGGCUCGAGUGGUAACCGUUAUUAUUGGGUCUAAAGGGUCUGUAGCCGGCCGGAUAAGUCUCUUGAGAAAUCUGGCAGCUUAACUGUCAGGCUUUCAGGAGAUACUGUCUGGCUCGAGGCCGGGAGAGGUGAGAGGUACUUCAGGGGUAGGGGUGAAAUCUUGUAAUCCUUGAAGGACCACCAGUGGCGAAGGCGUCUCACCAGAACGGACCUGACGGCAAGGGACGAAAGCUAGGGGCACGAACCGGAUUAGAUACCCGGGUAGUCCUAGCCGUAAACGAUACUCGCUAGGUGUCGGCCACGGUGCGACCGUUGUCGGUGCCGUAGGGAAGCCGUGAAGCGAGC
rnacentral:rRNA from 1 species